GUGGGAACGUGCCCUUUACUACGGAACAACUCCGGGAAACUGGAGCUAAUACCGUAUGUGCCCUUCGGGGGAAAGAUUUAUCGGUAAAGGAUCGGCCCGCGUUGGAUUAGCUAGUUGGUGGGGUAAAGGCCUACCAAGGCGACGAUCCAUAGCUGGUCUGAGAGGAUGAUCAGCCACAUUGGGACUGAGACACGGCCCAAACUCCUACGGGAGGCAGCAGUGGGGAAUAUUGGACAAUGGGCGCAAGCCUGAUCCAGCCAUGCCGCGUGUGUGAUGAAGGCCUUAGGGUUGUAAAGCACUUUCACCGGAGAAGAUAAUGACGGUAUCCGGAGAAGAAGCCCCGGCUAACUUCGUGCCAGCAGCCGCGGUAAUACGAAGGGGGCUAGCGUUGUUC
rnacentral:rRNA from 1 species